UACGGAGGGGGCUAGCGUUGUUCGGAAUACUGGGCGUAAAGCGUGCGCAGGCGGUGAUGUAAGACAGAUGUGAAAUCCCCGGGCUCAACCUGGGAACUGCAUUUGUGACUGCAUCGCUGGAGUGCGGCAGAGGGGGAUGGAAUUCCGCGUGUAGCAGUGAAAUGCGUAGAUAUGCGGAGGAACACCGAUGGCGAAGGCAAUCCCCUGGGCCUGCACUGACGCUCAUGCACGAAAGCGUGGGGAGCAAACAGG
rnacentral:rRNA from 1 species